rnacentral:rRNA from 1 species
AUUGAACGCUGGCGGCAUGCCUUACACAUGCAAGUCGAACGGCAGCGGGGACUUCGGUCCGCCGGCGAGUGGCGAACGGGUGAGUAAUGUAUCGGAACGUACCAUUGAGUGGGGGAUAACUAUCCGAAAGGAUAGCUAAUACCGCAUAUUCUCUCCGGAGGAAAGCAGGGGACCGCAAGGCCUUGCGCUCAUUGAGCGGCCGAUAUCAGAUUAGCUAGUUGGUGAGGUAAAGGCUCACCAAGGCGACGAUCUGUAGCGGGUCUGAGAGGAUGAUCCGCGACAGUGGAACUAAGACACGGGCCAGAAUCCUACGGGAGGCAGCAGUGGGGAAUUUUGGACAGUGGGGGCAACCCUGUUCCAGCCAUGCCGCGUGAGUGAAGAAGGCCUUCGGGUUGUAAAGCUCUUUCGGCCGGGAAAAAAUCGCGUGGGUUAAUACCCUGUGUGGAUGAUGGUACCGGAAUAAGAAGCACCGGCUAACUACGUGCCAGCAGCCGCCGUAACAC